rnacentral:lncRNA from 1 species
UCGAGUUACCACAAUCCAAGGUCUUCGUGUUGCUGGAUUUAUAAAGUCUUGAAAAAAUCAAAGCGAACCCUAAAGUUUUAAAUUUUUACACAAAGUUUAUUUCCACAUCCUCUAACUCUGAUAAGUCUUAGAAAAUUUCCUCUUGUACUUCGUUUAUUACAUGUUUUAUUUAAAAAAAUUCUUAGGGCCAGAGGCCCAUCUUUUUUGGAUCAUAUGUUCUUAAACAACUAAAUUUUUUUUUCUUUAAAACAAAUUGUUUUUAAGCAAACUAGUUCUUAAUUCCAAAAAAGUCAUCAACAUUAUCUCAUUCUGAUCUUUAUUCUUCAUUCCACCAUUAUCUUCAUUCCACCAUUAUCUCACGAUCAAUAAUCUGAGAACGAUUGAUUGAAAUAAAGUCAUCAAUGAUCACCAUCAAUAAUCUGUGAACGAUUAAAGGUGAUUAAAAGGAUCAAUAACUUUUUAAAGGAUGUUGGUAAUCCCAAUCGUCAAUUAACACGAUUAAUCUAACGAUAAUGGAGAAGGUGGAAUAGAAAUGGAGACCAGUUAAUUAUAUUGGUCAAGCUAGAGUCUUGAGUAUCUUACGAUCCUUAUCGCCGAAAGGAAAUGGGUUCCGUCGAAAAUAAACUUGAUGGAGAUUAAAAGACAACGGAGAAUGAAGAAAUCGAAGAUACCCAAUAGCUGCCGAAACCCAAGACGAAGAAACCCAGUAGCUGCCGGAACCUAGGACGAAGAUCGAAACAACCAGUUAAUUAUAUUGGUCAACCUAGAAUCUUGAUUAUCUUACGACCUUAUUAUCGAAAGGAAAUGGGUUCCAUCGAAAAUAAACUGAAUGGAGAUAAAAAGAAAACGGAGGAUGAAGAAAUCGAAGAUACCCAAUAGCUGCCCAAUAUAAUUAAAAUUAGAACAAAGGAACCCAAUAGUUGCUGGAACCCAGAACAAAAACAUCGGAGGAAUAAAGAAAAAGAAGAAUGAACCUAAUAACUAUUGGAAUGAACCCAGAACGAAGACAAUCAAGGAAUAAGACGAAGACGAUAAAAAUAGAUGAUAGACAAUAAAUGAUAGAAUGUUCAUAGAAUGAAUAGAUGAUAGAAUUUUGAUCAUGAAAAAUAGAAUAAACCCACAAAUAAUAAACCCAGAACGAAGACAAUAGAUGAUAGAAUGUUGAUCAUGAAGAACAAACCCAAAAACUGGAGAAUGGUAAACCGAGAAUGAAAACAACCAGAGAAAUAAAAAUAAGAAGAAACCGAAAAGAAGAAGAAACCCAAAAGAAGAUGAAACCCAAAAGAAGAAGGAAUCGAGAACGACAACGGAGGAUGAAGAAGAAACCAGCUUAUAACAGACACCGACAAGACAUGAUAAAAAAG